AGACCGAUAGCGAACAAGUACCGUGAGGGAAAGAUGAAAAGCACUUUGGAAAGAGAGUUAAACAGUACGUGAAAUUGUUGAAAGGGAAACGAUUGAAGUCAGUCAUGCUCUUUGGAUUCAGCCGUUCUGCGGUGUAUUUCCAUUGAGUGGGGUCAACAUCAGUUUUGACCGCUGGAUAAAGGCACUAGGAAGGUAGCACUCUCGGGUGAACUUAUAGCCUAGCGUCAUAUACAGUGGUUGGGACUGAGGAACGCAGCAUGCCUUUAUGGCCGGGAUUCGUCCACGUACAUGCUUAGGAUGUUGACAUAAUGGCUUUAAACGACCCGUCUUGAAACACGGACCAAG
rnacentral:rRNA from 1 species